CCCAGAGCCCCUGUGUGGCAGCCGAGUCCACUAAGGUCUGGGGAAGAAGAAGGAGUUUGAAGUUCAGAUGGUCAAAUGCCUCACACGUCUAACCCCAGGAUCCACCGAGCCCCCGUGUGUAGGGCCUUUCCCUGUGGUCAGAGCUCCUGCUUCCUUCCCGCCAAGCCUCGUCCAGCUGAGCCGAAUGUCUCCCGUCCCUCCCAUCCCUGUCUCUCUCUCCAGUCUUCUCCUCUGGCAGCUCUUUGGGCCUCCUCCCUGAACAAGGAUGACGCCGGUGCGGGAGGUAACAAAAUGGCCCUCGUACCUACUUCAGAAGAAGUCCGUAAGACGACACCUGGCCUCUGCCAGGUCCUGGCCGCCUCCGGCUUCCCUACAUCACGGCGUUGAGCCCUGUCCCAGCUCUGGAGGCACGUGUACUGCUGUCAGCCCCGAUCAAACGGGGACACUGAAGCUGGGAGAAACUGAGACACAUGACCGAGAUCACAAAGGCAGUGUGCAGCCAGGAUCCAAAACGGGAUUCUCCUGCCUGCGGACGCCGGGGGCAGGAGUCUGGAUAUUUAAAGAUGCAGAUUCCUGAGUAUUUUUGCAGCACCCCCAGCACCACGGCAGCUGCUCCAUCUGGCUCGGGGUCGCUCUGUGUUUAAGCACACCACACCAGGCUUGACUCAAAGGAGUGAGAGAGAGAGAGAGAGACAGUGUGUGUGCACGCGCGCGAGUGUGCAUGUGCAUGUAUGUGAAAGUGUGUGCAUAUGUGUUGUGUGUGUGCGUGUGUCCAUGAACACUGAGGUCUGGGGACUGAGGUCCCUACGCUCGCCCCCACCUCGGUGGCUAUGUCACUCCUCUCAGGCAGCCCAAGGGGGAGGCGGGCCCCCCACAAGCCGCACCCCUGCUGAGUGACUCUCCCCUCGACAAUGAGACGGGCCGGUCUCAGAGGUGAUCUGGGUUUGUGCCCUCCCUAGGACUGUAGGCACGCCACCAAGGCUGGGAUGGCACUAACCCCCAUCCCUCAGGUUGUGGGAGGGGGAGACGGAUGAGUCUGAAACAGUAAGUAUGGCUUUGGAACCAACUUGGCUCUUCUGAUGACAACGUGCCUUGUUCCAGAUGGUUCCUGUGCAUGUUCUCCUUCGUUAGCAUGCUAAUUUAUUCUGACUCAUCGCGAAACUGCUGCAGGCGGGGCUGGCGCACACCUCAAUGCCACAGCAAGACCCGGGGGCCCGUGAUUCCCAGCUGGAACAGGAGCCCUCCCUGGGGGCUGUCACCAACACCGGGUAUAUAGAGAACAGUUGGGGACGAGGCUUCAGUGGCAGCCUGAGCAGGCUGUAAUUUCCCCUCCGGUGGCCCUGACAUUCUGCGACAGGAUCGGGAGGGCAAGACUGGAGACACAGGCUCUGCGAACGUUCAGGCCAGAAAGUUCCGGAUAGCGCACAAAUGGUCGGCUUCUGGGACACCCAGCCUACUGUCCCGUCCUACUGGGCAAAACUCACCGACAUGGCCACCCUGACCGCUUGGGCCUGGAAAACAGGUAUCCAUUCAAUCCUGGCCCAGGUUCCCAGGUAAAACCCCAUGUCCCCCACGGCUGGCUUCCUGCCCAGACCUCCCCAGGUCCCCUCCCACCAAGGGCUGCUGGCUGCCCUCCUCGACCUUGGGGCUCCCUGCCCCUCAGCCCUCCGUGGCAAGGAGUUCCCGGCCCCCUGGGAGACAGAGUGACAAAGUUGCCAGGGCACAGUGAGCAGGCUUCUGGAAUCCCCCAGAGCUCCAUCGCACUGUCUACAGUUUCCUGGCAGUGGGAAGGGCCCCUUCCGUGAGGGGGAGGGAGUCUGAACCUGGCGCUGGGGGCCCCCCCAGCGGGGCCGCCCUCGGUGCUGGUGAGGACUCUGGAAGGUGAGCACGGAACAGGUCCUGAGACACCCGCCCCCUCCUGGGAACGUGAUGGAGGCAGAGGGCCGUGUGUGGGGAGGACCCAGGGACCAGGAUGCCCGGGGCGGACAGAGGCCAGAGCCCGUUGGCGUCCUGGGUACUUGGUGACCCUUGAGGCCCGGCCCCGCCUGCACUUCCUGCUGGGAACAAGCACGUCCAAUCAGGCCACGCUGCAGGGCGGCCGCUCGCUCGGGUCUGUCACCAGCCACUGGCAUCCCUCGGGAGAACCCCCACCACCCGGGCCGUAGGAGCGGCCUGCCCUCGGCUCCAGGAAAAAAGGAGACGGACGGACAAGCAGGAGGCUGUGCUGUACCCUGUUCUGUCCACGGCACCCACACAGAACAGCGUCCCUCCUCCGGAAAACAGGCGUGGAAUCCGCGUUACCGCUCGGUUAACGCGUGUUAAGCAGAGCACAGGCACUAGACGAGGAGCCACGGCCACUGACCGGCCACAGAGGAAGUGAAGUAGGGACGUCUGCACUCACAGGUGCCGGAGGAAGUGCCAGGACACGGGGAGACCGUUGACCACAAGGCUUCCGGGAGUCAGGUCGGGGCUCUGUGGCUGCCACCCGGGCGCUGUGCUGGCGGGAGGGGCUCGCAUGUACGGCCCCCAGGCCGCACGGCCGAAGCCUGAAGUUCCGCCCCUUCCUGGAGGGAUUUGGGGAGAGAGGCACCACCCCCCGUCUUUGCCCCGGGAGCGCACUCACCGGGGCGCAGCUGGUCGCCCGCAGGUGGACGUGGGCGUCGAAGCCCCUGGUCCUCGGGCGGGAGCCAGCCCGGCACCUGCCGCCCCACGUGCAGGCAGAUGGGGGCAGGGCUUCCUUCCUGCUCUUGUCUCAGGCACGUGCCACAGGCUGGCCCACAGAAGUCCGGAUUGUUCCACGGUGACCCGGGCCACGUGGGGACUUCACCGUGCGGCCCGUGGUGCCUGCCAGAGGGUGGGGGAUGGGCCCCAUUAGGAGGCUGACCUCCCCGCGGGGCUGUGUGUCCGGGGGUCUGGCGGCCUGGGACUUGUCAGGACAUCCCUCCUUGUCCCCCAGCUGCUAAGAGAGACGUGGCAGGCUCAGGGGCCUUUGUGGGUGCGGAGGAAAGGACUCAUGGUGGAGUGCCCCCAGCUCCACGCGGCACAAAAGCGGACCCCACGGAUGGUCUCCGGUGACCAGGGGCGUCCCUGGAGCCGGACAGGGGGGGCCGAUGGGAAUUCGGUGCAGGCCACUGCCGGGGCCCCUGUGGGCCGUGGGGGCCUGACUGUGGGACACUGCUUGCCGAGGUGGCCCAGCUGCCCGGGGUGGAGGGCGUUGUCCCGGCCACCGUGCCAUCGGCCCGGCUGUGCCCACUCUGCUCCAUCACCAAGCAGGUGCACCGUGUGCCCUUCAGGAACCUGCUGCCGCCCCUGGGGCC